CACAGCGGCCCAGCGUUGCGUCUCUCUUGACGUCGUGGCGAGGUCGUUAGCUCCGCAGGGCCCCGGACGCGACCACGGGGAGGCAGAAGGAAGUUGCUUCUGUAAAUUAGGUGUGAAUUCUUUUUGGAGCAAGGAAGACAUCCUGGACUGUGGAAAGAGGUUAACAAGAGGCCUGUGCACAGGACUCUGCACUUGUUCAAGAGAAGAAUCUAAAGAAAUCCAAGCAGGACAGGUAGUUCUAAAAGCCAUGACCCAGGUAAGUUGAAGUUUCCUCUAUCCUUGAAAUAAUAUCAACAUUUGUGUUCUUUAUUCUGAGACUUCCCUGUCUGGCUGAGCCCCCAUUCAGUAACUUGCUCCCAGUUCCUCCAUUGCAGAGAAUGAGCAAUGUUGCCUCACCUCCCUUUGUGGCCCUCUCUUCUCCAACAGUGUUCACAUACGUGCACAAUGUUCUUACCAGAGCACCAAUGGAGCGGAAAUAUAUUCUCUUGAGAGAAAUUUGAGAGCUGCCCUUAUCAGAACCAUGGUUGAAUACAGCCAAAGAUAAGAUACCUUUGAUCUUGUCCAUUAACCCAAGUACUUUCCUUUUUUUCUUCUAUUUUAAAAUAUCACCCCCUCUUUAAAAAUCAUAAAACAUUUCACAGUAUUGAAAAAAAAUACAUACAAAAACGUGUCUAUAACAUAUAUAUGGUAUAAAGAAUAAUAAAAUGAGUUGAUAUAU